rnacentral:rRNA from 1 species
UGAGCUUGAUCCUGGCUCAGGAUGAACGCUAGCGGCAGGCUUAACACAUGCAAGUCGAGGGGUAGAGCACUUCGGUGCUUGAGACCGGCGCACGGGUGCGUAACGCGUAUGCAAUCUGCCUUUCACAGAGGGAUAGCCCAGAGAAAUUUGGAUUAAUACCUCAUAGUAUUACGACUCGGCAUCGAGAUGUAAUUAAAGUCACAACGGUGAAAGAUGAGCAUGCGUCCCAUUAGCUAGUUGGUAAGGUAACGGCUUACCAAGGCAACGAUGGGUAGGGGUCCUGAGAGGGAGAUCCCCCACACUGGUACUGAGACACGGACCAGACUCCUACGGGAGGCAGCAGUGAGGAAUAUUGGACAAUGGGCGCAAGCCUGAUCCAGCCAUGCCGCGUGCAGGAUGACGGUCCUAUGGAUUGUAAACUGCUUUUGUACGAGAAGAAACACUCCUAUGUAUAGGAGCUUGACGGUAUCGUAGA